rnacentral:rRNA from 1 species
AAUCAACGCUGGCGGCGUGCCUCAGACAUGCAAGUCGAACGAUUAAAGCUCUCUUCGGAGAGUGCAUAGAGUGGCGCACGGGUGAGUAACACGUAAGUAAUCUACCUUCGAGUGGGGAAUAACGUCCGGAAACGGACGCUAAUACCGCAUAAUGCAGCGGCAUCGUAAGAUGACAGUUGUUAAAGAUUUAUCGCUUGAAGAGGAGCUUGCGGCAGAUUAGCUAGUUGGUAAGGUAAUGGCUUACCAAGGCUACGAUCUGUAACCGGUCUUAGAGGACGGUCGGUCACACUGACACUGAAUAACGGGUCAGACUCCUACGGGAGGCAGCAGUCGGGAAUUUUGGGCAAUGGGCGGAAGCCUGACCCAGCAACGCCGCGUGAAGGAUGAAGUAUUUCGGUAUGUAAACUUCGAAAGAAUAGGAAGAAUAAAUGACGGUACUAUUUAUAAGCUCCGGCUAACUACGUGCCAGCAGCCGCGGUAAU